AUUGAACGCUGGCGGCAGGCCUAACACAUGCAAGUCGAACGGUAGCACAGGAGAGCUUGCUCUCUGGGUGACGAGUGGCGGACGGGUGAGUAAUGCAUGGGGAGCUGCCCAAUCGAGGGGGAUACCAGCUGGAAACGGCUGCUAAUACCGCAUACGCCCUGAGGGGGAAAGGUGGGGACCUUCGGGCCUACCGCGAUUGGAUGCACCCAUGUGGGAUUAGCUAGUUGGUGAGGUAACGGCUCACCAAGGCGACGAUCUCUAGCUGGUCUGAGAGGAUGACCAGCCACACCGGAACGGAGACACGGUCCAGACUCCUACGGGAGGCAGCAGUGGGGAAUAUUGCACAAUGGGGGAAACCCUGAUGCAGCCAUGCCGCGUGUGUGAAGAAGGCCUUCGGGUUGUAAAGCACUUUCAGUAGGGAGGAAGGGAUGAUGUCUAAUACGCAUCAUCAUUGACGUUACCUACAGAAGAAGCACCGGCUAACUCCGUGCCAGCAGCCGCGGUAAAAC
rnacentral:rRNA from 1 species